ACUGGUUCAACCAUUGUGGAAGACAGUGUGGCGAUUCCUCAAGGAUCUAGAACUAGAAAUACCAUUUGACCCAGCCAUCCCAUUACUGGGUGUAAAAGAGGAGGUUAGAAUAGCUAAUCUCAAAAUUUUCUUUCAGUCCUAAAUUUCAAUGAUUCUGAGAUUUUGGUUAGGGUUCCAUCCCGUAUGAGAAAGGGAAGUUUGGCAUGAGUGAUCAUAACUAAUAAUUGCAUGUAUAAUAAUUCAUAAUUGAAGCUGAAAGAAAAGGCAUUUUAAACUGUCUUAACUAAUAGCUAAUAGCUAUUCUUUAUAAAGUUCAUUCCAAUUAUCUGGUGCUUAUAUCAUUGGAAAGAGUAUCCACUAUAUUAGAGCUAACUGGAUC
rnacentral:lncRNA from 1 species